rnacentral:rRNA from 1 species
UACGUAGGGUGCGAGCGUUGCCCGGAUUUAUUGGGCGUAAAGGGCGCGUAGGCGGCCACGCACGUCCGUUGUGAAAUCGCUCGGCUCAACUGGGCGGGGUCAGCGGAUACGGUGUGGCUAGAGCAAGCUAGGGGGCAAUGGAAUUCCCGGUGUAGUGGUGGAAUGCGUAGAUAUCGGGAGGAACACCAGUGGCGAAGGCGGUUGCCUGGAGCUUUGCUGACGCUGAUGCGCGAAAGCAUGGGGAGCGAACAGG